rnacentral:lncRNA from 1 species
AGCUUAUGGACAACAAUAUCAGUAUCUAAACCUGACAUAUCUUGAUAUGACCGUGCAAAUACAUCUACAUAUUCUUAUAGCAACUUGAUCAAUCCUUCUUUGAUGCUUUCCCCAAGUGUAGUCCCAACUUUGACCUCUUUCUUUUUUUCCUCGGUGCCAAGGUUGAUUGUCUCCACCGGUUCUUGAUGUGAUUGAAGGGCCUUGGACUCGUGCUCGAGCAACCUUGCCAUUUCUUCGGGGAAGUCGC